rnacentral:lncRNA from 1 species
CAGGACUGUCUGUGUAUCAUGUCAGGAAGUACUCAUGUCUUUCAGAAACAUGGACUGAAAGAAUCAGAGUCCUCAGCAGAGCCAAGCUGGAAGGGUAGAUAGAAAGAAGAGGCAUGGAAGAUGUCCAAUGUCAUGGAAAAGCUGGCUGUGUAGGAUCAUUCUGGAGACAGCAACCCUAACUAAGACACCAGCUAUGUACAAACCCAAUGAGAAGUUCGAGGUGAAGCAUACAGAGCGUUAAGGUGAGAACAGUGCUUUAAUUCCUAAUCCACUCAAGGAGCCCCUGA